rnacentral:rRNA from 1 species
AUUGAACGCUGGCGGCAGGCUUAACACGUGCAAGUCGAGCGGGGUGAUGGUGCUUGCACUAUCACUUAGCGGCGGACGGGUGAGUAAUGCUUAGGAAUCUGCCUAUUAGUGGGGGACAACAUCUCGAAGGGGAUGCUAAUACCGCAUACGUCCUACGGGAGAAAGCAGGGGAUCACUUGUGACCUUGCGCUAAUAGAUGAGCCUAAGUCGGAUUAGCUAGUUGGUGGGGUAAAGGCCUACCAAGGCGACGAUCUGUAGCGGGUCUGAGAGGAUGAUCCGCCACACUGGGACUGAGACACGGCCCAGACUCCUACGGGAGGCAGCAGUGGGGAAUAUUGGACAAUGGGGGGAACCCUGAUCCAGCCAUGCCGCGUGUGUGAGGAAGGCCUUAUGGUUGUAAAGCACUUUAAGCGAGGAGGAGGCUCUUUUGGUUAAUACCCAAGAUGAGUGGACGUUACUCGCAGAAUAAGCACCGGCUAACUCUGUGCCAGCCGCCGCCGUAA